rnacentral:piRNA from 1 species
UAACAGAGCAAGCCAGGAUGCUGUUUGG